UACGUAGGGUGCAAGCGUUAUCCGGAAUUAUUGGGCGUAAAGAGCUCGUAGGCGGUCUGUCGCGUCGGCUGUGAAAACCCGGAGCUCAACUCCGGGCCUGCAGUCGAUACGGGCAGACUGGAGUUCGGCAGGGGAGACUGGAAUUCCUGGUGUAGCGGUGAAAUGCGCAGAUAUCAGGAGGAACACCGGUGGCGAAGGCGGGUCUCUGGGCCGAUACUGACGCUGAGGAGCGAAAGCGUGGGGAGCAAACCGG
rnacentral:rRNA from 1 species